GAUGAACGCUGGCGGCGUGCCUAAUACAUGCAAGUCGAGCGAACGGAUGAGAAGCUUGCUUCUCUGAUGUUAGCGGCGGACGGGUGAGUAACACGUGGAUAACCUACCUAUAAGACUGGGAUAACUUCGGGAAACCGGAGCUAAUACCGGAUAAUAUAUUGAACCGCAUGGUUCAAUAGUGAAAGACGGUCUUGCUGUCACUUAUAGAUGGAUCCGCGCUGCAUUAGCUAGUUGGUAAGGUAACGGCUUACCAAGGCAACGAUGCAUAGCCGACCUGAGAGGGUGAUCGGCCACACUGGAACUGAGACACGGUCCAGACUCCUACGGGAGGCAGCAGUAGGGAAUCUUCCGCAAUGGGCGAAAGCCUGACGGAGCAACGCCGCGUGAGUGAUGAAGGUCUUCGGAUCGUAAAACUCUGUUAUUAGGGAAGAACAUAUGUGUAAGUAACUAUGCACGUCUUGACGGUACCUAAUCAGAAAGCCACGGCUAACUACGUG
rnacentral:rRNA from 1 species